AGCGGCGGACGGGUGAGUAACGCGUGGGAACCUACCCUUCGGUGGGGGAUAACCUGGGGAAACUCAGGCUAAUACCGCAUAGGCUCUGCGGAGGAAAGCUGGGGGUGACCCUGGCGCCGAAGGAUGGGCCUGCGUCCUAUCAGCUAGUUGGUAGGGUAAUGGCCUACCAAGGCGACGACGGGUAGCUGGCCUGAGAGGGUGGUCAGCCACACUGGGACUGAGACACGGCCCAGACUCCUACGGGAGGCAGCAGUGGGGAAUCUUGGACAAUGGGCGAAAGCCUGAUCCAGCCAUGCCGCGUGCGGGAAGAAGGG
rnacentral:rRNA from 1 species